GAUGAACGCUGGCGGCGUGCCUAAUACAUGCAAGUCGAGCGAAUGGAUUAAGAGCUUGCUCUUAUGAAGUUAGCGGCGGACGGGUGAGUAACACGUGGGUAACCUGCCCAUAAGACUGGGAUAACUCCGGGAAACCGGGGCUAAUACCGGAUAACAUUUUGAACCGCAUGGUUCGAAAUUGAAAGGCGGCUUCGGCUGUCACUUAUGGAUGGACCCGCGUCGCAUUAGCUAGUUGGUGAGGUAACGGCUCACCAAGGCAACGAUGCGUAGCCGACCUGAGAGGGUAAUCGGCCACACUGGGACUGAGACACGGCCCAGACUCCUACGGGAGGAAGCAGUAGGGAGUCUUCCGCAAUGGACGAAAGUCUGACGGAGCAACGCCGCGUGAGUGAUGAAGGCUUUCGGGUCGUAAAACUCUGUGGUUAGGGAAGAACAAGUGCUAGUUGAAUAAGCUGGCACCUUGACGGUACCUAACCAGAAAGCCACGGCUAACUACGUGCCAGCCGCCGCAGUAA
rnacentral:rRNA from 1 species